rnacentral:rRNA from 1 species
AUGAACGCUGGCGGCGUGCCUAAUACAUGCCAGUCGAGCGAACAGACGAGGAGCUUGCUCCUCUGACGUUAGCGGCGGACGGGUGAGUAACACGUGGAUAACCUACCUAUAAGACUGGGAUAACUUCGGGAAACCGGAGCUAAUACCGGAUAAUAUAUUGAACCGCAUGGUUCAAUAGUGAAAGACGGUUUUGCUGUCACUUAUAGAUGGAUCCGCGCCGCAUUAGCUAGUUGGUAAGGUAACGGCUUACCAAGGCAACGAUGCGUAGCCGACCUGAGAGGGUGAUCGGCCACACUGGAACUGAGACACGGUCCAGACUCCUACGGGAGGCAGCAGUAGGGAAUCUUCCGCAAUGGGCGAAAGCCUGACGGAGCAACGCCGCGUGAGUGAUGAAGGUCUUCGGAUCGUAAAACUCUGUUAUUAGGGAAGAACAAAUGUGUAAGUAACUAUGCACGUCUUGACGGUACCUAAUCAGAAAGCCACGGCUAACUACGU